GCAUCUGGCUAGCUCGCUCUAGAGCUUGUAGUCAUCACAUCAUCUUUCAUGCAUAUGGGUUUCUAAAACAUGCCAAAUGAUUACGUCACAAAGAAUAGGGCCUAAUAUACCGUAUACACUGGCGUUAGACCUUCUGUGGAGAUGGAGAGGACACAGUAAAGAAUCAGUCACUACCCUAGAAACACCAGUCCAGGAGGGUUUUUCUGAACUGGCACCUCCAACUACAAGGAGGUGGGAGGAGGCAGUGGCUUGGCAGGUAAACCAUGUCCCCUUGCUAUCCACAUCAACCACUGGGUAGCCCUUUCAAGUGGCCUGAAGCCUCUGUCCUGGAAGCUGGCUACAGUGCUGGCCUUCUGUUUCCCAGCCGCUGUGGGAAGGCAGUUCUGCUCUCAGGUCUUUUAUCCUGAUUCAUUCAUACCUUUCAGGAGUCGCUGUUGGCCUGGAAGACAAUGUUCCCCGGAAAGGAAACCCUUCCAGAACACACGUGGAAGAGAGCAAUGUAAAAUAACUCCUGUAGCUCACUGUACAUACCCAUGUCAGCUGGAGACAUCAGGCUUUGUGCUUGUUAAAGGGACAGAGGGCUGGGAAGAAUGAGGAAGGAAACGCUUGCUUUGGGGAUGGGCCAUAAAGGAAAGGUUCCUGUUCUUAACAGUGUCACCCACUUGCCUCCUACAGCCUCAUGUAAGCCAAUGGGCCACCAAACCUUUUCUCCUCUAUGUGGAUGGCUUUCAUUUUGGAAUCUGACUUUAAUAAAGCAAUUAGGUUGCUCAGUUUGAAAUAACCAUUGUUUCUGGUGAACUUUGAUUAUAUUUUGAAUAAACAAUUUUACUCAAAAAACAAGCCAAGUUCAG
rnacentral:lncRNA from 1 species